GAAGGGCUAUGCGUCAGCGCCAUAGCAUACGCCGGCGUUUGACGCAGAAGUAUAAAUCAGCCUUAAGUCAAGAACCAAAUGAAGCACCAGAGUACAGAUUAUGGAGGUAUCUGAAGUUGAACUAACUGGAAGCAGGGAACCAUACUAAUAAAGUUCCUUAAGCAGGUUCCUUGUAAAGAUUAACCCAGGGAAGGAUCGAAUGUGGAGAAGACCAGAUCAAGAAAGACUACAUCAAGAUCUGCGGUCAGUUCAAAGGAUGUUUUGCAUUGGACUGUUUUUUUGGCUUUGACCCUUGCUUGCCCCUGACCUCACUCUUGGACUGCCCUGUUGGAUUUUCAGUUUAUUUAAUUAAAAAAAAAAUUUUUGGUUCUGGGUAGAUGCUAAUAAAUAUUUAAUUGUAAUUAUUUAAUGUAAAUCAA